UCGUCCUCCUUCCGUCGAUCCCUCGAUUCGCCACCAACUCUCCAUUACAUUGCCAGGCGAGGAUAUCCCGCAGCGCACCCCAAGGCUACCUACGACACCCCACUCGAGACAAGGCCGGAGAACGAUGGCGACCUUCAGGUCAUCCGCAUCUCACACGCAGCCGCCGAAAUCGACGCGUCACCGCCGAAAAUCGGGCAUGUCGUUUUUCAAAUCAAGGUCUCCGCCGUACGAAUCGAUUCAUCGGCGGCGCUGGAAUCGACCCCGACUUCAGACGCUGCCGACGCUGCCACAGGCUCCCCGUGGCUGGUCUCGUGCUCACCGCCGUCUCAAGGUCCACAACCCUCCGCCACGAAAGGGAGCUGUGACGGGAGCUCCUCCCGCACGUUUCCCUGUUGCCGGGCUCGUGCUCACAACCGCCCGAGGUCGCGCCGUACCUUUCUGGCAGAAAAAGGACCUAGGACAGGAGCUCCUCCGGCACGAUUGCACGAAGUAGCUCAGGCUGAGCUUUAUUGCUCACAGCAAGGUUGAAGCUAUCAAGAAGGUCUAUGAGUAUGUGAUGCAACUGACGAGAAUUGGCAAAGGGCAUGGGAUUCGGCACUUUGAUGGAUGCUCCUUCAGUCCUGAAGACCGGAGUACAUUGAAGUGUAUGGACUUUAUUUUUUGGUGUGAUCAGCUACAAGCAUGCUGAGCUUGAUUGCUCACAGGGAGGGAUUGGCAAGCUUCCAUUCUUUGUGGUGUCUGCAUACAUCAAUAUCACUAUUUGACUACAUGAUUUUUUUUUAAAAUUCCAUUAUUUCUGAUCUCCAUGUGCAUCAAUAUCAUUCUUUUGCAGCGUGCGUGUCAGUGAACAUGCUUUGAAACCGGUGCUUUUGGUGUUUUCGUGACGAUGCCACUUUUUUCUCUCCCAGCAACCUGAUCUGUAGUACAGUGCCGCCGUACGUGCACCACUUCAUCUACGCCUACUUUGACCGCGACAAUGUUGCAACCAAGGGAUUUCCCAAGUACAGUGUUAUGUUUCUUUAAGAAAUCAAGCGAAGAGGAAAGGGAGCACGCCGAGAAGAUCACAGAGUACCAGGUAUCAUUGAAUUCCUUGGGCUCUUAGUUGAUGUACCAUUGGUACACGAAUGCUAGCUAGAAACAGACCAACGAUGCUUGGUGUAAGCUUGUGUGUAGUUCGACCACUAUGAGAAACGUGAUGCUCUGCAUGGUGAGUUUCUUUAUGGUUUGCAUUGUGGGUCUUCUUCUUAGGCAUGCGUCAUCUGUUUAUUGAUACUCAGUGGGCUGUCAAUUUUUUCUAGAUUAAUUAGCUAGGGGGAGUAACAAUAGUUCAAUCGAAGACCAGAGUAAAGUAGGUGUAUGCAAAGCUAACUGAUUAGGAACUGAACAUGGCCUCACUAACAUGUGUCCAGUUUUUUUUUUAACUGCUAGCUAUUUGGUUAAAAGUAUUGGUUAUAAGUUACGUAGCUUGUUACCAGCGACCUUUUACUCAUGUCUGGUUGGUGUUGUGUCUCUUUAAAUAUAUUUAGACCAGAAGAAAAUGAAACAAUCGUUCAUGAUUUAGUAAUAAGUUGUUAAAUAACCGAACCUAGCUUGUGAUGUAGAAAAAAAAGGAUGGCUACAUGUAGAAAAAGGAUUUGAAUACUUUCUCACAUCACUCGUCGCCUAGCGUACUAAGUGGCAGAGGAAUGGUCUGUGUGUCAUUAUGAAGUAGAGUAAUAGAAAAGUUCCACUUCCAGUUGAGCAUCUCACAUGCAUGCAGAUUACAGUAGUGUGUAUAAACAUCGAAUGAGGUUUGUAAAUAUAUUGCAUUUUGCUAGGCCAUCCACGCUCCAAUCCACUUGGAUGAUUUCUGAUCAAAGCUAGAAUUUCGUUGCGAUUGUGAUUAAGUGGCGUCUGAUUUCUCAGGAAGGUGCUACUAAAGUAAUAUGUAUUGUGGUUUUUCUCUUUACCUGAAAGUAGGGGCAAUGCCAGCUCCCCACACAAGGUAAUAUUACCUCCUCUCAGAAAUUGGAGGAGAUUUGUUCUUCACAACUACAUGUUGAGCGGUUGAAUGCAUUCCUACUCACACGUCUGAUGGGAAUUUUAUGUGAGUAAGAGAGAAAAGAGAGAGGGGUGGAAAGUUCAUGUGUGUUCAGAAAACAAAUGUAACACCGAGUAUAGAUCUGGUCCAUGAUCUCUUGAACCGGGUGGCUUUGUCCCAACUCACCGAUGUCGUGUUCUCUCUAUCAAUUAUAGCUCCAUGUAUGAACUGGCAUCAAUGAGCAAAUGAAUGUGAAAUAAGGGUGUUGUGAACA